rnacentral:sRNA from 1 species
UGUCUUCGAUGUCCUGCGCCCACCUGAC